UCCGAUAUGGUGUAACGGUUAGCACACUACGCUUUCACCGUGGAGAUCGGGGUUCGAUUCCCCGUAUCGGAG